UCCAGCAUGGUGUAGUGGUUUGAGCACCGGACUAUGGCUUUGAAGACCAGGGUUCAAUUCCCUGCGUGGCCA